rnacentral:rRNA from 1 species
AUGUUGGUUAAGUCCCGCAACGAGCGCAACCCCUAUUGUUAGUUGCCAUCAUUCAGUUGGGCACUCUAGCGAGACUGCCGGUAAUAAACCGGAGGAAGGUGGGGAUGACGUCAAAUCAUCAUGCCCCUUAUGACCUGGGCUACACACGUGCUACAAUGGUUGGUACAACGAGUUGCGAGUCGGUGACGGCGAGCUAAUCUCUUAAAGCCAAUCUCAGUUCGGAUUGUAGGCUGCAACUCGCCUACAUGAAGUCGGAAUCGCUAGUAAUCGCGGAUCAGCACGCCGCGGUGAAUACGUUCCCGGGCCUU